rnacentral:rRNA from 1 species
UACGGGGGGUGCGAGCGUUGUCCGGAAUCACUGGGCGUAAAGGGCGCGUAGGGGGUUUGAUAAGGGGGGGGGGAAAGUCCGGAGCUCAACUCCGGAUCUGCCGUGCCGACUGUCAAACUCGAGGGCUGUAGAGGCAGACGGAAUUCCGGGUGUAGCGGUGGAAUGCGUAGAGAUCCGGAGGAAGACCGGUGGCGAAGGCGGUCUGCUGGGCAGUUUCUGACACUGAGGCGCGACAGCGUGGGGAGCAAACAGG